rnacentral:rRNA from 1 species
AGCGAACGUUAGCGGCGGGCCUAACACAUGCAAGUCGAACGCGAAAGGUCUUCGGACUGAGUAGAGUGGCGCACGGGUGAGUAACACGUAGGUAAUCUACCCUUUGGCGGGGGAUAACGUUCCGAAAGGAGCGCUAAUACCGCAUAAGACCACGGAGUCUCCGGACGCUGUGGGAAAAGGUGGCCUCUUCUUGAAAGCUACCACCGAAGGAUGAGCCUGCGUCCCAUCAGCUAGUUGGUAAGGUAAUGGCUUACCAAGGCGAAGACGGGUAGCUGGUUUGAGAGAAUGAUCGGCCACACUGGCACUGGAACACGGGCCAGACUCCUACGGGAGGCAGCAGUGAGGAAUCUUGCGCAAUGGGCGAAAGCCUGACGCAGCGACGCCGCGUGAGUGAUGAAGGCCUCGGUUGUAAGCUCUGUGGAGGAGACGAAUAAGUACGUAGCGAACAGCUCCGAUGAUGACGGUAU